UUGGGUGGAAUUAAACUGAAUAUGUACUCUGCGCCUCAUAGAAUCAUAGAACAGUAUGAGUUGGAAGGGACCUUAAAAACCAGUUAGCACCAAUUCCCUGCUGUGGGUAGGGAUGCCUAUCUCUGCAUCAGGUAGGACAAAACAUCAGGACAUGAAGUGGGAUCAUAAGAGGGACAAAACGGUGGUGAGUGCUGUUUUGGGGAAAUAAAGUACGCACUGAGCAGUUAGGGGAUGACUUAGCCCUAGAAGUGUUUUCUUCUAAGCCUUUCUUUCUGCUAACAAUUCCCCUGGCAGUCGCUUGGGCAUUUGCAGUGCAGGCGAGGUGGCACUGCUGAUGAAAUCUGCGAUGUGCAGACUUCAGCUUGCAACAACACCACACUGUUUCAACAUCGAUGAGAAAUACUUAAGCUGACAUUCACAGAUAAUUGACUGUAGGAAGCCCACCAGUUUUUCAGAUCCACGAUUUAUUUUUUUUUCUUGUUCAACUGCUCUAAAUGCAGUGUGCAUUUCUACGUAGUGUGGUAGCAUCACUCUGCACCCCUGGGACAGCAAUGGAGGGAAAGUUUUGAGGAUCUGAGCAUCUCUUCCAUCAGACACGGCCUUGUCUCACCUUGAAUCAUGCCUCUACCACCAGCAGCUCCUGCUAUGUGUGUUGGAAGAGCUAAGCCCUUGAUACAUCUAACUUAUGGAGCUGGGGUUUAUUAAAGCACCAGGUACUAUGGUUGUUACAGUGAGCUACCAGAAAUGAUGGGGUGGCUGACUAGUGUGAACGAGCAAAUGUCCAUGGCGUUACUUUGGAGGUCAUGUAAAAAUAAAGAGACAGAGCCUGUGCCACAGCUUUCAGUACUGUGUGCGUACUGCAGGGAGUGAGGGUGGCUGCAGGAGCUGAUCUGAUGCAGCCCAGUCAGCGAGGGACAAAAACAAAGGAAGAUGGGCAAUGAAUCUGCCAGUGGCCGUGUCCUGUGCAGCAUACAGACAUCGAGAUGGUUUGGAAUCCCUCCCUCCAAACUCCAGUGGAGGCUGAGAAAAUUGAUUAAGCCUCCACAGACAGCAGUGUCUUUCUGAAUUAAAGCAAUGUGUCUGAAUGUCUCAUUAACACGGCAUGGCAGAGGACAGUGAUAUCUGUAUCCAAACCACUGAGUUGUACCACAACAUGCCCGCUAUCUCAGGGAGAGGUGAGGGAAGCAGAGAGGAGCAGCAGCUCAAUGCAUGGGCAUGUUUUAUCACCUCUUCUCUACCCUUCCCCAGUGAGCACAGAUACUCCUGACUGCUCUUCGUUGUCUGUUUAAAUCACAUCAAUUUAAAAGGGUUAUAAGAGGCUGCAUUUAAUCAAAGCAUUUGUUACAUCCACGUCUCCUUUCCCAGAUGUAUCCAGAGAAUUAUCUCAUUGGAGACCCGUUUCCCCUUGAGGACCCAAGGGGAAUAUCCACUUAACAAUUAAGAACAAUUGGAGCUAAGAGGAUGCUGGAUGUCACCUCCUUGGAGCAGCCCAGCCCUGCCAUCACCAUCUGCCCGCCCUGCAGGGCUGAGCUCCCACAGCAGAGGAAUGCAAACAGGAGGAAUUUCAGAGGCGUGAUGGAGACCUUGGCACACCCAAAGCCAUUACAGCACACUGGGGCUUCCUGGAGAUGUCAGGAUAACAGCAGUUGCGUGUUGGUACAGUGUGAGCCACGGCUGAGACCUUUCAGAUCCCACUGCCAUCAAUGGAAGCUGCACUUCCAGAGCCUCUGAACCGCGGCGACAAUAAAACCCAUGUGCAUGAAACCACCCACAAUUCAAAACAAGUGCUCUACAGAGGGCAGCAGGACAGGGCAGGCACACAGGUAAACACAGCCCGCCAAGAAACAGCGCGCCAACCCAGCGCGGCCCCGCGGCCGUUGCGCCCCCUG